GGAAACGACUGCUAAUACCGCAUACGCCCUACGGGGGAAAGCAGGGGACCUUCGGGCCUUGCGCGAUUGGAUAUGCCCAGGUGGGAUUAGCUUGUUGGUGAGGUAAUGGCUCACCAAGGCGACGAUCCCUAGCUGGUCUGAGAGGAUGAUCAGCCACACUGGAACUGAGACACGGUCCAGACUCCUACGGGAGGCAGCAGUGGGGAAUAUUGCACAAUGGGGGAAACCCUGAUGCAGCCAUGCCGCGUGUGUGAAGAAGGCCUUCGGGUUGUAAAGCACU
rnacentral:rRNA from 1 species